AUAUUUGGGUGCUGGGUCUGGAUCCUGUAGCCACCACCCAGGUUGCAAACCCAUUGCUGCAAGGAUGGGUGAUGUAUGUCUCACUCACCCCAUUUCUCAUCUCCCUCAGCUUCCUGUUGUCUUCCUUGUUUGGAUUUUGCAAAAGAAAUGAUUCCUGGAGAUCACCUUCAUCACCACGCUGCUCUACAUUCUCCAGCCUUCAGCAUCUAUUACCACUGAUGCACAGGCGCCAGGCUGAGGGGAAAACGCUCUUUGAAAGCCGGGAUUGUUGGUCCCCAAAAGCAGCUUCCAAUGUUUGCUGUCCGGAUGAUAAACAGA
rnacentral:lncRNA from 10 species